GGCGUGGCCUCCUUUAUCCUCCUCGGGAUAGCUAGAGGAGGACAGAGCACAGAUGACAGGAGGCUGUGUACCCACGGAAAGUCACAAGACGCUCUGCAGAGCAGCCAAAUACUAAUUGAAAUAAUUAACUGUAGAAGACACGUGGGCACAGCGAUAUUAGUGGCGCAUAAUCCUUUCUAGUUAAGCGCUCCUUCCUGGAUUACAGCCGAAGAGCUCGGGAGUUCUAAUUACCUGUGCAGAUCCCAGGAGGCGGAAGCAAAACGUGAUCAGAAAAAAGAAUGGCAAAAUGCGGCCUGGAGGUUUGCUUUGGGAAGUAAGCAUCGGAUCAGCCUGUUGUUGAUUUACACCUGCUGUGCUAUACCUCGAGUGGAGGCGGAGGCAGAGUUAAGCACACUUUGUAGGUAGUUACUCCUGCUGAUAUAUAUGAUGACAGCUACAGCAGCCGCACAACAGCCUGGAACACCAGCCUAGUCCUGGAAUAGCAUCGUCUCAAUUGGAGUAGCAGAUAAGUAGAUUCUAAUGAUGGUGGUGGGAUUUCGUCCAAUGGCAGGUCAGCUCGGUGUCCCUCUGAAACCAGGGUCUUUCAGUACACUGGUAGUUAAUAAGGACCACAGAGUCUCACCCAAACCAUGGUCCAUCUGAGAGGGCAUAUUAAAGUUCAAACAGGAGGAAGAAAACUGCCCCAAAUUGCCUUGAGUCAUUUUAGAGGGUACAUCAUCUAAAUUCUUUUUAACCGCUAGCUAGCCCCUUUAUUACAGGCCCCCACUGCUCUAUGUAACACAGCAUUUCCUGGAAUAAAUACUUUUAUUUGUUCCAAAUAAAUUAUUUGGAAUCUGAGCAAACUCAGAUUUCUUUUCUAUAUCAAUUUCAGAGAGCAAUUGGAAUUCAGUGUUUGGGGUUGGGGGUCCUGGCUCAAUGUUAUGAUCCAGAGCUCAGCUUCUCAAAAUGUGGGCUGCAACUUGUCAUGUCAUCAUGAAACUGAAUAUGGGGUGGACGUGGGUUUGGCAAUGGUGAAGUUUCUGAACAGACAAUGGACAAACAUAAAUUUAAAACCAAAUUCACGAUGAAGCCAAGAUGUUUCCAGCAUUGCUGGCCCAUGCUACACCUGUGAUUUUAUUGUAGCCUUAGUUCUGAGCACAUGAUGAGGGCGGGCACUUUGUUCAGUGAGAUACCAACAAUGACUCCUGAACACCAUGUGCAUCAGGAUUUGAGACCACCAUGUGCUGUGAAGUGCUUUUUCUGUGCACACAAGAAGUCUUUGCUCUUACAGCGAUCACAAAUAACAAUGACAUCUAUUUUCUACCGCCAUUACGUGGUAUGUAAACCACACAUUAGUAUAUCUCUGGACAGUACUAUGCUAGGGGGCUUGAUUUUUAAAAAAUUGUUGUCUGAUUUGCUGCCUUGAGUUUUGUUUUAAAACAAUUAAUUGAAUUUGGCUUAGGUUUAGGAUAGAAUUCCCAAUAACUUUGAAAAUGACCCUAGACAUAAUUCUAUCAUUUGGGGGCUGCAUAUUUAUGUGAAGUGGAAUUCUCAGCACUGAAAGCUAUAAAACAAAACAAACAAACAAAAAGAUCAACUCUGAGACAUGCUGAAGGUGUUCUGUAUCUUACUGGACCAAAUAUUCAGCCAGGUUUCAGUUCUUCAUAUGCAGAUAAUAUAUCCCUCUCACUGCUCUGUGUACUUGGUUUCAAUUUUAAAUAGAUGGUAAGAUAAUUUUUUGCAUACCAGAGAAUUCCUUUAAAACAAAUUUCUUGAUAAUUCAUUCUCAAUUCAUGUUAGAUUUUUGCAACUAUUUUAUAUGCAUAAAUAUUUGUGACUACAUAAAAAAUUCGUGGGUAAAAAGGGGUCAGGUAUAACAAAAAUUGAGGAACCCAAGCACAUAGCCUUAGGUUCUACUCCAAAGCAGUGCAAAACAAAAAAAAAUAUUAAUAAAAUGUUAUCUUUGAUACGUCAGGAUUAAUUUUAUGGAAAAUGCCUGCCAGUGCUUCUGUGUGUCCACUGUGAUAAGCACUCAUUGGUCCACAUCUAAGGGAGACUGGAGAGCUACUGCCUCUACUUACCCAUCUCGGUAUGGUAGUUGGCAUGAGUCUGACCAACAUCAAAUAGCAGCUAUAGGCUUGGGACCUGGCAGUCAGGGACCACAGCACAGCACUCUGAGGGAGUAGACACUCUGGGUGUGAAACAAGUUUUAUGAAUAAUGGUGGGAAGGAAAGAAUGGCUGUGGAGUUACACACAAGCUAGUGUUUAGAGUUAGCUUCUGGGAGCCUCAGUUUCUUCAUCUGAGAGAUAAGACCUUCAGUAAGCUCCAACAGAAUCCCUGAGACCCUUCACUGAGGCUAUGCAAAACCCUGCUUCAUCAGCAUAUAAUAGUGAGUAAGUCAUUAAUAAAACUUUGACCAAGUAAAUGAGGCAUUUAAUUGCCGAUUGAGUCACGACCAGAUUCAUGACAUUACAGUAAUACUAUUUCCAGUCACAGGCUGGCUUGGGGGACAAGUAGGAAUUGAUGAAUUUAUCUUGUUGCAGGUCUCAAAGAAUGAACCCCAACAAAAAAACUAUUACCCUUUCCCUUGGAAGGACCAGCAGAGCAAGAAAGAAUGUCACCAAGAGGAAAUAGUAACAACAGCGUGUCUGUCAUGGCAUCUGGGGCUACACAGGGAGUCCACUUAGGAAUUACCACAGUAGAGAAGUAAGCACUGUUAGCUGCCACUGCUACCUGAGAGUAUCAAAUUAUACAGGCUACGCCAGUGCCUGGCAAAUACAGAAGUGGAUGCUCACAGUCAUCUAUUGGAUGGAACACAGGGCCCCCA